rnacentral:lncRNA from 1 species
CAGUUUUGUUUUCCGUAUACAUAUAUACUUGCCGUUUUCCCAGGAAUUGAAAAUGCAUGAAACUAUGCUUUUAAUGAAAAUGUAUAAAAGUAUAUGAGAUAUAUUAGUUGAAAUGCCAUGCAUAGAAGUAUGCGAAAAGUAUAUAGAAUUAUAUGAAAAAUGUGAAUCGAAUUGCCAUGCAUGAAAUGAUAUGAAAAGUAUGAAUUGAGAUAUGAUGCAUAUGUAUGAAUUGGUGCGGCGGACGCACAGGUGAGUAUUUAAUUACUGAUAUGAUGAUGUUGAUGUAUAUUGAGCUCAAAUCCUGCACCUUGGUUUAGUGCUUAUAGUAUUCACCGCAUCGCACGCUCGCCUUGGAUCCAAGUAGAUGCUGGUCGCACAGUCCACGCGGAGUGGGUGCGACGGGCCAGUCGAAGAGUGUUAGUGAGAUUUCGACUGGUGGGUGACCUUAGAUUAUGUGCACAGAUGAUUAAUGAGAGAAGCACUAGAGCGUAACCUAUGUGCAGAAGGCCGUACAAGUCACAGAGGUGACUCCGGCAGAGUGAUAGUGAUAGAUUUUGAGCUCUAAAUUCAACCGUACAGGGCUAUUAGAGGGCCUCCGGUUGAUUACUUUCUUGCACCUGAUAUGAUUAUUGUUGAUGCAUCCAUACUUAACUGUUGAUUUUAGACAUGGCAUGGCAUAACUGAUAUGAAAAAUGUUGAAAAAGUGAAUUGAAGUUUUGAGAAUAUAUAUGUAUAUUUAUAUUUUACAUUUCUGGGAAAGUAUACAGGUUUUACGGAGAGGGGUUACAACGUUUUGAGAAAUGUUUGGAUUUGGAAAAGAAUUGUUUUACUGACACACUCAGUUUUGGUUUUGCGCCCCUCCAGGUUCAGGAAUCACAAAGGUGUAGUGACUACGAGGAAUUCGACGGUGUUCUGACAGAUUGGACAAAAUUAGGACUCACCUUCGGGUGUAUCAACUUAUAAAUUGUAUCUUUAAAGCUUCCGUACUGUGCAAAUGGUUACGUCACUCUCACGUGACGGCCAGCAUGCCCUCAUUCGGGACGGGGUGUGUCAGUUGGUAUCAGAGCAUGGUUGCAAUCUUGGACAUCUUGAGAAGUUUUAGUGAAUUCUGUCAGAACUACACCGCCUCGUAGCAAGCCACGUAGUUAGAGGAACUUAGUCUCCCUGAUUUAGCGGUUUAGGGGGAAACUAUUACUAUGGUGAUUCAGUCUAUUAUAAAAAAGGACAUUUUAAGACGGGUUAUGAGUUGAAUUUGAAUCACCUUAUGAAAUGAUGAACCUGAGGGAACGAAGUGACGGUUUAACCGUUUGGAAAGGAAGUUUCGGAUUAUGCAAGUCAAAGGAAUCUUCCUUCUGACAGGGGGUCGAGACGACUACCUGGUUUUGGGUAUGAAUUUGUAUCCUGGUGGAAACAGGAUUGUUAAUUGUUGUCACCAGAGGAAUCAGCCGAUUUAAAAUUGUUUAAGGACUUGUUUAAGGAAAAGUUUAUCCAUCCGGCAUUUAUCGAUGGUAGUAAACAAGAGUUUACAAAUAUGAGACAAGGAAGGUGAUGAUCGAGGGAUAUUAUAGAAAGUUUUCAGACUUGCCUCGUUCCAUCCAGAGAUUGUUGUUAAUUUGGUGGAGGUGUUAUGUUGUUUUAAGCUGGGUGGCAAAAAGGGAAGUGGUAUUUUGGGUGACCACUAUCCAUUGUACUUCUUACCAGGAAUAUACGAGAUGCUGUUGAGUCUUGAGGACUCUGAGAACAUGAGCAACGAGAAUAAAGAAGAAUAAGAAAUGAAUGGGAAUCAAAAGAAGACGAUAAAGUUAAUGAUUCGUCAUAUCAAGGAUAUAGAAAGAUUCAGAGCUUCGAAAGAAGUGAAGCUAGAGUUAAUUCUUCCAGUUGAGGUUUUAACGCCACUGGUCAGAGGCGAAGUGAUGGAUAUACUGGUAAUCCCAGAUUUUAGAGACAAGGUGUCUCGAGUAAAGGAAAUGUACUUUGUGCAGCAGGUACAAAAUUAACACUUUGGGAAGUGUGAAAUUAAUGAAUGUGUUUAUGUGAACAGAGGGGACACAGAAUUGUGAAUCGUCCCUAGAAUCAGUUGUACUCAACAAUUUUCCAUGAUAUCAUAGUGUCGAUUCAGCAGAGUUAUGGACUUAGUAGUUUGGUCGGAUUGACCGUGAGUACAGAGAGAUUUGAUGAGUUAUAUGUUCAGCCGUACAGACCAUGAAGUGGAUUCGACUGACACAUGAGAAAUUGGUGAGUUAUAGGCUCGGCCGUACCGACCACGCGGAGUGGAUCCGGCCGACGUAUUAUUGAGAUAAGAGUUGAAUCAGCCGUAUUGGUCAUUCUAGUUGACUUCGGCUGAUAUAUUUCUUAUUAUGUAUGUUAUUACCUAGAGAGUAGUAAAUAAAUGUAGUUGAGACGAGUGUAUGUAUUUUGCAUUGAGUGACCAAAUAGUAUUGUUAUAUCUUUGAGAGUGGUUGCCUACUUAUCGAGACAACGAUGAUUUAUCAGUAUUGCGGGCUGCAGACCGUAAUAUUAAUAACUCAUUCGUGGAUUCGUUAAGCAAGCAACCCGGUAGAUUAUGUUAUGUUAGUAUUGUACUUAUUCAGAAUGCUUAGUAGUAAUAGAAUAUAUAUUGUGUCGGUUAAAUUAUUUCCAUUAGAUUGGUUGGUUAUAAUUGUGACUAGAUGGAUUGUUACGGGAAACCAGUCACUUUCCAUCGAUCUGGAUGAUCAGAGGUUACCUUAAUGAGUGGGCAUGCAAAGUGAAGUGAGUUCAGCCAUUAUUUAUGCUGUGAAAGCAAAGAGAUUGUUUUGAAAAGCUGCCCAAAAAUACUUAGUUCCUGUGGUGCUAAAUGAUGUUGUUUGGAGUAGUGUGAAUAAUGUAAAAAGGGGUUAGACUUUCUUGAUGUCUUCCUUGAAAGUAUACCUGGAUUUCCUUCAGGCAGAGAUAUGAGGUUCACUAUUGAUUUGUUGCCAGGUAUAAAUUUAUGUUAAAGAUUGGUUCAUGAUGAGUUAAGGGAAUUGGAAAUUCAGUUGAGAGAAUUGGUUGAUAAAAGUUUUAUUCAACCUAGUACAACACUUUUGAGGAGCCCCAGUUUGUUGGUGAGGAAGAAAAUGGAUCUUGAGACUGUUCAUUGAUUAUAGACAAUGGAGUCGGGUAACGAUUGAGAACCGUUAUCCAUGGUGAUGUACUGAUGAUUAUUUAACCAGCUCAGAAGUAAUUGCGAAGAUUCAAGGAUUGAAUUGAGAUCUGGUUACUACCAAUUGAAUAUUAUAAGUGACGUUGAUCAUAAGAUGGUUUUCUGGACUUGUUAUGGUCCUUAUGAAGUUUGGUGAUGCUAUGGAUACUCAUGCUGUUUUAUGAGUUAUUGGAUGAAGUAUUCCAAUAAUGCCUUGAUAAAUAGAUAUCAUUUUCAUUGAAGAUAUUCUGGUAUACUCUAAGCCUAGAGCAGAGCAUGUUAGAUAUUUUAAGUUGAUGUUACAAAGUUUGAGGGAACGUUGAUUGUAUGCUAAGUUUAGCAAAGGCUAAAGUUAGAUGAAUCAAGUGGCAUUUUGAGAUUGGUUAUAUCUGCUUAAGGUAUUCAAAUGAAUUCUUAAAAGGCAGCAGAAUUGAGAAAUUGGAACAACCACAAGCCAUAAUUGAGAUUCGGAAAUUCUUAACUUAUCAGGCUAUUUUGGAUGGUUGUGAAAGAAUUUUUAGUCAUUGCUUUGUCAUUGACGAGACUGUUGAGAAAAGAGGUUAUGUAUGAGUGGGAAGGAAAUUGUGAGCAAAGGAUUCAACAACUGAAGUAUUUCCUCACUCAUGCACGUAUUUUAGCAAUCCCAGAGAAUAGUGGUAAUCAUAAAUUUUUAGUGAUGUUUCUUGAAUAGGUAUUGGAUGCAUGUUGAUGCAAAUGUUAGGGUGAUUGCAUACGUUUCACGAUAAAUGGAACCUCAUGAGAUGAAUUACCCUACGGGUGACUUGGAAGUCAUGAUUACCAUUCUUGCUGUGAAGUUAUGAAGGCAUUAUAUUGGGUAAGAAUGCAAGAUUUUUACGAACCCAAAAAGUCUUCAAUAUCCAUUACUUGGAAGGAUUUUGAUAUGAGGCAGCGAAGGUGAAUUGUAUUGCUUAAUGAACAUGAUUGUACGACCAGGGUGAUCGUAAAAUUGUUCUAGCUGAUACACUUGGUGAAAAGAUUGCAGUAAGAUUAAUGUCUGGCACGUUUGCCAAGAGUAUCAUCUUGUGGAUUGAAAACCAACGGAAGAAAAGUUAAGAAUGAAAGAUCGAGAAGAAGUUAUACUUGUUAAAUUUCAAGUUAGGCAUUUUUGGUAAGGUUGUACUCGAGACUCAAAUGCUUGACGAAGAAAUUUAAGAAUUAACCAAGGCAGAGAAAGAAGGGAAAAAGAAUGAGUACAUGAUUCGUGAAUCAAAUGGUAUGUGGAUACAAGAAAACAAAAAGUAUGUGCCUAAUGCUAAGGAUUUAAAGUAAGCAAUUUUGGACGAAGUACACUGUUCAGCUUCUGCAAUAUUCCGAAAGUAAUAAGGUUUAUCAUACCAUUCGACAGUUUUAUUUGGUCAGCAGAUUGAGGCAGAAAGAGAUAAACCUUUGGAUUGAGAUAACUAUUUUCUGUUUCGCAGUGGAAAUGGAAAGAUAUUACUUUGGAUUAUGUGUACAAGUUUCCUUGUACAUAGGAUGGUUAUGAUCGAAUUUGAAGUGAUAGUUGGUCAAUGUACCAAGUUAGUACAAUUACUCCAGUGCUGAGUAAUAACUUUUUCCCAGACAGAGCAACGGUACUUAUUUGUUUUAUGGAAAGAGAAUUGGAUUACGGAACUGCUGAGUUUCUUAAGUAUGUUGGGUGCGCAGUUUCCGAAAUAACGCCAUAAGGUCCAUGAAAUGUGUCAUGUGUGUCGAUUUUUGCGGAUUUGUGGAUGGAAUGUUUCUGGGUAAAGAAAGAUUCCAUCAUGAAAGAGUUUUAGUAGACCCUGAGACUAUGGAUGAGUCUCCUCAAAGUAUUCAGGUGAUUAAGUUAACCUGAAGUAACCAGGAAUGGCAAAAGAGAUCAACAGAUGGAUAUGCCACUAAUCGAGUGUGUAAGGUAAAUGGUUUGAUAUUUUUGGAAUUUCACCAUGAACAGAAAUAGUAAGAUUCAGAAAGGAAGAUAAGAUAAGACUUAAACACAACGGUCCGUUUUGAUCACUAAGGGAAUCGACGAAGUUGCAUACAAGUUUGUGAUGCCUUCAGAAUUGGCUAAGGCACAUAAUGUAUUUUGGGUUCGAUACGUUGUCACUAGGUGGCAGAUUCGUCACAUGAGAUUCUGGUGCAACUACUGAGAAUUAAAUUGGAUUCGACUUGAUAAGGAACCAAGGACGACUUUGGAUUGGAAAAAGAAGGUUCUGAAAAGAAUGACAGUAUAAGUGGUAAAAGCUUUGUGAAGGAAUUAUUCAGUAGAAGAAAAUUGCGCGGGAGAAAGAGAAUCGGAUGAAAGAGACUUACUGAGUUUGGUAUGAGUAUUGAUGGGUUGAUUGGUGGCUGGAAUUUCGGGGACGAAAUUCUAUAAGGAGGGAAGAUUGUCACAGCCCGUCCCAGAAUUUUUUUCAUUUCCGAGGACAUGAAAUUACUAAAGUGCCCUUAAACGGGAUUAAGGUGCAUAAAUGUGACAUUAGUUUAACCUAAAGUUCUUAAACUAGUGUUAAUUUAAAAUAUUAACUAGUUUUAGGGUCUAAACUUAGACCAAGAAUUUCAUGAACAUGUUAAAGUUUGGUGUUUUGGGAUUGGAAAAAGGACCACGUGGGAUCCCCACAUCCCUCAAAACCUUCCUCAUUUCCCGUUCACUGUCUCUCUCUCUCCUCCCUCACGAAACUCUCAGUUCUCUCUCCCUCUCCUUCGAACUCACACGGACCACCACAAAACCACCCUAAAUCUAUACCAACGACGAAUCUAAGACCACCAUUGGAACCCUGAAGACUUCACGAUCGCGAUGGUAUCCAUUUCAGGUAAGUUUUGCUUCGGAAAACCCUAGUUUUAAAGUUGCCGUGAAUGUGUACUGUUCAUGAGCUUUGAAUUGGUUGUGUUUUAGGCCAAACCAAGCUCACAGUGAGCUUAAGGAAGUCCCAAGGAAGCUCGGAGUGCUUCGUUGGCAUGAAUUGGACGUCGGGAUCACCUAGUUCAAAGGUAGGCCGAUUUCUUGAAUUUUUGAAAGUUUGAUCCCGUUGUUUUUAGGCCUUAAAACUAGUCCAACGUGAGAGUAGAUGUUUAGGGCUUCAAUUUGGUGUAAAAUUCGAGAAAUUUGGAUGAAAAACGAAGGAGAAUAGUGGAUUUGAAAUAUUCCCCAGUUUCCGGUGACCGGAGUCCGGCGAGGGACGACCGGAGAAGAAGAAGGAAUAUUCCGUUAUUUUUAACGGCAUAUUCCUAACGGCAGUAACGGUAUCCGGUUAAGUUAACGGAAUAUUCCGGGAUUUUAACGAAAUAUUCCUGACGGCGUCAAUUGACACCGUCAGUGUGCUUGGCACGUGGCCGCGCGUGGGGGGCGCGUAGGUCCGUGCCACGUCAGGCGCGUGUGGGCGCGUGAGACCUCAAAAAAUUAUUUUAAAAAUAUGGGGAUGAUCCUGAGGUUGUGUAGGUCACUGUGGUAUAUUCAUAUACCCAAUUUGAGCAAUAUAUGAGGAGUUAUUAGCUAAGAAUUAGGUUAUGCGUUAAAUAACGUUAAUUCGGUUAUUUCUCGUAUAGGCGAGGCUUGUACGAACGUUGGGCAUGGCCAAGGGAUGCUCAGGGACUUACGAGACGUCGAUGUAAUCUGUGAGUGGGCAGUUUUGUUUUCCGUAUACAUAUAUACUUGCCGUUUUCCCAGGAAUUGAAAAUGCAUGAAACUAUGCUUUUAAUGAAAAUGUAUAAAAGUAUAUGAGAUAUAUUAGUUGAAAUGCCAUGCAUAGAAGUAUGCGAAAAGUAUAUAGAAUUAUAUGAAAAAUGUGAAUCGAAUUGCCAUGCAUGAAAUGAUAUGAAAAGUAUGAAUUGAGAUAUGAUGCAUAUGUAUGAAUUGGUGCGGCGGACGCACAGGUGAGUAU